rfam:Allokutzneria albata strain DSM 44149 genome assembly, chromosome: I
CUUCAGCGAGCCCAGCAGCAACGGCUGCUCGCGAUCCUGCCCGUAGGUGGCCAGCAGCGCCUGUGCCUC